rnacentral:rRNA from 1 species
GACGAACGCUGGCGGCGUGCUUAACACAUGCAAGUCGAACGGAAAGGCCCUGCUUUUGUGGGGUGCUCGAGUGGCGAACGGGUGAGUAACACGUGAGUAACCUGCCCUUGACUUUGGGAUAACUUCAGGAAACUGGGGCUAAUACCGGAUAGGAGCUCCUGCUGCAUGGUGGGGGUUGGAAAGUUUCGGCGGUUGGGGAUGGACUCGCGGCUUAUCAGCUUGUUGGUGGGGUAGUGGCUUACCAAGGCUUUGACGGGUAGCCGGCCUGAGAGGGUGACCGGCCACAUUGGGACUGAGAUGCGGCCCAGACUCCUACGGGAGGCAGCAGUGGGGAAUAUUGCACAAUGGGAGGAAGCCUGAUGCAGCCACGCCGCGUGCGGGAUGACGGCAUUCGGGUUGUAAUCCGCUUUCGCCUGUGACGAAGCGUGAGUGACGGUAAUGGGUAAAGAAGCACCGGCUAACUACGUG